UACGUAGGGGGCAAGCGUUAUCCGGAUUUACUGGGUGUAAAGGGAGCGUAGACGGCGAUGCAAGCCAGAUGUGAAAGCCCGGGGCUCAACCCCGGGACUGCAUUUGGAACUGUAUAGCUAGAGUGUCGGAGAGGCAGGCGGAAUUCCUAGUGUAGCGGUGAAAUGCGUAGAUAUUAGGAGGAACACCAGUGGCGAAGGCGGCCUGCUGGACGAUGACUGACGUCGAGGCUCGAAAGCGUGGGGAGCAAACAGG
rnacentral:rRNA from 1 species